rfam:Myotis lucifugus cont2.31701, whole genome shotgun sequence.
GUGUUCGCUUCGGCAGCACAUAUACUAAAUUGGAACGACACAGAGAAGAGAGAUUUGCUUGGCCCCUGCGUAAGGAUGUCCAGCAAAUCCGCAUUUAAAAAAAAAAAAGAGU